CUUUUUUUUUUUUUUUUUUUCAUACAACAAGAAAGUCUGGAAUUGAGUCCUUUAAAAACAAAACUCUGGUUGAGAGUCCCAUAUAGCCAUGUAACUCCAGUCACGGCGGGUUUAAAAAUAUCACUGCUUUCAUGAGAAUUGCCCAUCUUUCAGUGCUAAGUUUAAGUAAGUGCUAUGUUGACAGUUUAAGAUGCUUUUAACAACACCUGUCUGUGUUUGCUUUCCAGGCAGCUCCCUCUCUUCUUUUCUAAACAUUUAGAGCUUGUCUCACCGCUGCAUGUGCCGAUGGGGUCAGAAAUGCAGUGCAUCAGCCUGGCUAACGUGUGUCGAAUAAUUCAUACAAGUGCUUGCAAAAAGUACAGGUGUACCCUGUAUAAUGCCUAGCUGCCUGACGGAGCCAGCAUCGUUUCUGGCGCUGUGCUUUUGGCUUCCCAUAACCGAAAUCCAUCCCUGGCUCCAGAAGAACACUCAGUCCCUGCUGACAGUCUGGAAGAGGGAGAGAAAAUAGAUAGCAGAGCUGAAGCUAUUAAGACCAACAGGCACAUAUUUUAUUCCAACUCAAUUUUCCCUUCCCAAAUACCUUUUAAAGAAAAUCUUUCUCUUUGAGAGAACGUGAAUUAAGGUUGGUUUUGUUUGUUUUUUUGAGGGGAGAAGAGGUUGUUGUAGAUUUUUGUUUUGUUUUGUUUUUCUGGGUACUCUCCCGUUCUUGCUGAUCUUCAUCUUCUUCCACAUUUCAGACAGCAGAGCUUUCAGCCCUGACACGAUGUAAUCCCAAGUAAAACUGCUGCUGCCUCUGGCCUUGGUUAACCUGCUGGCAGUGAUACUUGCCUGGGCAUGGGGCAGCUGGCUUUUUACACAGCUCAGCAUGGAUAUGCUGCCACUCCCAGUCACUUUUAGGACACAGCCGAGUUGUUUUUCUUAAGAUUACUUCUUAAGAAAAACAUGUAAUAAAAUGUUCGACCUUCCCAGGGCCACCACUCCCUGAGACCUUUCCCCUUUCUUGGCUUCUGCGAGAGCUUCUUUCCCUCGGCUUCACACCUUUAUCGGCUGAAAAUGAUAAGAGUCCAGAACUGCUUGGCUCCAGGCUCUCGCUUUGAAGGACAGGCUGCGCUGCCACACCAUUGUGCCUGUGGGGGACUGGACGGUCACCGAGGACAAUGGGGAAGUGAAGUCUGCUCCCUCUUUUGUGUGGAGCAGAGGCAGGACUUGGCCUUUUAUGAAGUUCGGCAGAGGAAAACUCGGGCUUUCGCACUCGCAUUCCUGCAUUCCGUGCCCUACCCGUCAGCCUGGUGCUAAUCUUCACGGACCUUUGAAGGCAAGAAACGACACGCAGUGCAAACGAAAGCUCAGCCAGGGUAUUGGUGCCAGCCAGUUUUAGAAGUCAGACGCGAGAGCCAAGUGAAACAGGUACAGUGGCAGGAGAUGCCAUGUACCACCUGCAGGCACGCAGACCUACGGUGCUCACGCAGCAUCGGAGCCCAACAGCAAAGCGCGGCAUGCGAGGAGCUGGGGAACCCACGGCCACAUCAGGCUCGAAUGCACUUUCCUGGGGAGGAAGUGGCUUUUCCCUUGGAAAGCUCGACUCCCCAGGGUCCCUAUGAGGUCAAUGGAAAAAGUGAUUUCUUCAGAAUAUGAUUCAGAGUGCCUGAACAGAGGCUUAUCGUUUUGACUAUGGAUGGAGCUUAACCUCUGUAGUUUUAAAUUGGAUUUGUGAGUACCCAUCCCCUCCUGCCCCCUAGUUUUGGGACUUAUGCUGGGGGUUAGUGGUAGGCAGACUGCCUACCACAGUUCAGGUGCUGCAGACCCACAGCCUUGUCCACUACAGCACAGCGUGCCCUAUUGGAUCCUGCUUUGUCCUUUUGGCUUCUGAUGGGAUGUCAGAAAUGGAUCUGCAAGUAGCAGAAGAAUCAAAUGAAGUCAAGAAAUGUCGGUUCCUUUAUGGAUAGCCUGACUGGAGCUGGAAUAAUCAGCAUCUGUUUCAGUUUAAGCGAGUUUUCAUUCCAGCCUCUCUCCUUUUUCAAAGUACAGACAACUGAAGCCUUUAAUUUGCCGUGUCUUUCACUAGAGAAAAGUAGGAGUUUCUAACAGCUGAUACUAUCCUUUCUAGAAAUCUACACUACAGAAAUACAGUUUAUUGUCUGUUGUGAAUGAAAAAGCUCUUGCUUGUUUCUCUUGUUUGUAGUGUUGACUUUGAAAGAUAAAUUGUUUGAACUGGU